rnacentral:rRNA from 1 species
UACGGAGGGUGCAAACGUUUGCUCGGAAUCAUUGGGCGUAAAGCGCACGUAGGCGGCGCGUUAAGUCGGAUGUGAAAGCCCCGGGCUCAACCCGGGAAGUGCAUACGAAACUGGCGCGCUUGAAUAUGGAAGAGGGUCGCGGAAUUCCCGGUGUAGAGGUGAAAUUCGUAGAUAUCGGGAGGAACACCAGUGGCGAAGGCGGCGCCUGGGCCAAUAUUGACGCUGAGGUGCGAAAGCGUGGGAGCAAACAGG